AACUAUAACGGUCCUAAGGUAGCGAAAUUCCUUGUCAGGUAAGUUCUGACCCGCACGAAUGGCGUAAUGAUUUGGGCACUGUCUCAACAGCCCGCCCGGCGAAAUUGUAGUACUGGUGAAGAUGCCAGUUACCCGCAACUAGACGGAAAGACCCCAUGGAGCUUUACUGCAGCUUAAUACUGAAAUUCGGUAGUACAUGUACAGGAUAGGUGGGAGACUGAGAAAUACAGGCGUCAGCUUGUAUGGAGUCGCUGUUGGGAUACCACUCUUGUACUGCUGGGUUUCUAACCUGCGGCCGUGAAUCCGGUCGGGGGACACUGUUAGGCGGGCAGUUUGACUGGGGCGGUCGCCUCCAAAAGAGUAACGGAGGCGCUCAAAGGUUCGUUCAGCACGGACGGAAAUCGUGCAUUGAGUGUAAACGCAUAAACGAGCCUAACUGCGAGACCGACGGGUCGAGCAGUAACGAAAGUUGGAGUUAGUGAUCCGGUGGUAUGUGAGUGGAAAUGCCAUCGCUCAACGGAUAAAAGUUACCCUGGGGAUAACAGGCUGAUCUCCCCCAAGAGUCCACAUCGACGGGGAGGUUUGGCACCUCGAUGUCGGCUCAUCGCAUCCUGGGGCUGUAUUCGGUCCCAAGGGUUUGGCUGUUCGCCAAUUAAAGCGGCACGCGAGCUGGGUUCAGAACGUCGUGAGACAGUUCGGUCCCUAUCUGUUGCGGGCGUAAGAGAUUUGAAGGGAGCUGUCCUUAGUACGAGAGGACCGGGAUGGACGUACCUCUGGUGCACCAGUUGUCCUGCCAAGGGCAUAGCUGGGUAGCUAUGUACGGACGAGAUAAACGCUGAAAGCAUCUAAGCGUGAAACUCCCCCUAAGAUGAGAUCUCUCAUCCUUCAAGGAGUAAGGACCCAGAAAGACGAUCUGGUUGAUAGGCCGAAGGUGGAAGCGCAGUAAUGUGUGCAGCUGAUCGGUACUAAUAGUCCGAGGGCUUGACCUA
rnacentral:rRNA from 1 species